rnacentral:rRNA from 1 species
AUUGAACGCUGGCGGCAGGCCUAACACAUGCAAGUCGAACGGUAACAGGGAUCAGCUUGCUGAUUCGCUGACAAGUGGCGGUCGGGUGAGUAAUGUCUGGGAAACUGCCUGAUGGAGGGGGAUAACUACUGGAAACGGUAGCUAAUACCGCAUAACGUCGCAAGACCAAAGAGGGGGACCUUCGGGCCUCUUGCCAUCGGAUGUGCCCAGAUGGGAUUAGCUAGUAGGUGGGGUAACGGCUCACCUAGGCGACGAUCCCUAGCUGGUCUGAGAGGAUGACCAGCCACACUGGAACUGAGACACGGUCCAGACUCCUACGGGAGGCAGCAGUGGGGAAUAUUGCACAAUGGGCGCAAGCCUGAUGCAGCCAUGCCGCGUGUAUGAAGAAGGCCUUCGGGUUGUAAAGUACUUUCAGCGGGGAGGAAGGGAGUAAAGUUAAUACCUUUGCUCAUUGACGUUACCCGCAGAAGAAGCACCGGCUAACUCCGUG